rnacentral:rRNA from 1 species
AGAGAGAGACAUGCGCGCAUAUCAAUAAGCGGAGGAAAAGAAACUAACAAGGAUUCCCCUAGUAACGGCGAGUGAAGCGGGAAGAGCUCAAAUUUGAAAUCUUAAAGGGUUUCCCUUUACGAAUUGUAGUUUAGAGAAGUGUUUUCUGUUGAGGUUUUGGUAAAAGUUCUUUGGAAUAGGACAUCAUAGAGGGUGAGAAUCCCGUAUUUGACCUUUACUUUCAACUUUGUGAUACACUUUCAAAGAGUCGGAUUGUUUGGGAAUGCAGUCCAAAAUGGGUGGUAAAUUUCAUCUAAAGCUAAAUAUUGGCGAGAGACCGAUAGCGAACAAGUACCGUGAGGGAAAGAUGAAAAGAACUUUGAAAAGAGAGUUAAACAGUACGUGAAAUUGUCAAAAGGGAAGCGUUUGACACCAGUGUUGUUUUUCUGAAAAUCAAUUAAAGAACUGUUUAUGCUAAGUUGUUUAGACUUUAUCAGCUAACUGUUUAGUUUUGAGCUUUUCUUUAAUGCACUUUUCAGUUAACAAGUCAACAUCAAUUUCUUUUGCUGUAAAAAAGCUUGAGGAAGGUGGCUUGAGAUUCGUCUUAAGUGUUUAUAGCCUCUUGCCUAUGCAGUCGGAGAGAUUGAGGUCUGCAGCGUAGAUCCUUCGGGGCUAAAUGCAUUUGUGCUAAGUUAUAGCAUUUUAUAGACAACUUGUUGACUAUGAUUUGUCUUGUAGCUUACUCGCUUAUGUUAUUUUACCUACGCUUAGGAUGUUGACGCAUGAGAUAUACGC